rnacentral:rRNA from 1 species
GACGUAGGGCGCGAGCGUUGUCCGGAUUUAUUGGGCGUAAAGAGCUCGUAGGCGGCUUGUCGCGUCGACUGUGAAAUCCCGCGGCUCAACCGCGGGUCUGCAGUCGAUACGGGCAGGCUAGAGUUCGGUAGGGGAGACUGGAAUUCCUGGUGUAGCGGUGAAAUGCGCAGAUAUCAGGAGGAACACCGAUGGCGAAGGCAGGUCUCUGGGCCGACACUGACGCUGAAGCGCGAAAGCCAGGGGAGCAAACGGG